GACGAACGCUGGCGGCGUGCUUAACACAUGCAAGUCGAGCGAGAAAGCUCCUUCGGGAGUGAGUACAGCGGCGAACGGGUGAGUAACACGUGGGCAACCUGCCCUAGGGAGCGGGACAACCCGAGGAAACUCGGGCUAAUACCGCAUGAUUCGUCAUGUCUCAAGGCAUGACGGGAAAUGGUAGCUUCGGCCUCCGCCCUAGGAUGGGCCCGCGGCGCAUUAGCUUGNGGUGUGGUAACGGCUCACCAAGGCGACGAUGCGUAGCUGGUCUGAGAGGACGAUCAGCCACACUGGGACUGAGACACGGCCCAGACUCCUACGGGAGGCAGCAGUGGGAAUCUUGCGCAAUGGCGGAAGCCUGACGCAGCAACGCCGCGUGA
rnacentral:rRNA from 1 species